CGACGAGAUGUCGAUUUGGAGGUUGUGCCCUUGAGGCGUGGCUUCCGGAGCUAACGCGUUAAAUCGACCGCCUGGGGAGUACGGCCGCAAGGUUAAAACUCAAAUGAAUUGACGGGGGCCCGCACAAGCGGUGGAGCAUGUGGUUUAAUUCGAUGCAACGCGAAGAACCUUACCUGGUCUUGACAUCCACAGAACUUUCCAGAGAUGGAUUGGUGCCUUCGGGAACUGUGAGACAGGUGCUGCAUGGCUGUCGUCAGCUCGUGUUGUGAAAUGUUGGGUUAAGUCCCGCAACGAGCGCAACCCUUAUCCUUUGUUGCCAGCGGUUCGGCCGGGAACUCAAAGGAGACUGCCAGUGAUAAACUGGAGGAAGGUGGGGAUGACGUCAAGUCAUCAUGGCCCUUACGACCAGGGCUACACACGUGCUACAAUGGCAUAUACAAAGAGAAGCGACCUCGCGAGAGCAAGCGGACCUCAUAAAGUAUGUCGUAGUCCGGAUUGGAGUCUGCAACUCGACUCCAUGAAGUCGGAAUCGCUAGUAAUCGUAGAUCAGAAUGCUACGGUGAAUACGUUCCCGGGCCUUGUACACACCGCCCGUCACACCAUGGGAGUGGGUUGCAAAAGAAGUAGGUAGCUUAACCUUCGGGAGGGCGCUUACCACUUUGUGAUUCAUGACUGGGGUGAAGUCUAAAAGGGGGGAACCAAAACGGGAAAAAAAAAAGGGGCCGGCAAGUUUAA
rnacentral:rRNA from 1 species